GAUGAACGCUGGCGGCGUGCCUAAUACAUGCAAGUCGAGCGAACAGACGAGGAGCUUGCUCCUCUGACGUUAGCGGCGGACGGGUGAGUAACACGUGGAUAACCUACCUAUAAGACUGGGAUAACUUCGGGAAACCGGAGCUAAUACCGGAUAAUAUAUUGAACCGCAUGGUUCAAUAGUGAAAGACGGUUUUGCUGUCACUUAUAGACUGAUCCGCGCCGCAUUAGCUAGUUGGUAAGGUAACGGCUUACCAAGGCAACGAUGCGUAGCCGACCUGAGAGGGUGAUCGGCCACACUGGAACUGAGACACGGUCCAGACUCCUACGGGAGGCAGCAGUAGGGAAUCUUCCGCAAUGGGCGAAAGCCUGACGGAGCAACGCCGCGUGAGUGAUGAAGGUCUUCGGAUCGUAAAACUCUGUUAUUAGGGAAGAACAAAUGUGUAAGUAACUAUGCACGUCUUGACGGUACCUAAUCAGAAAGCCACGGCUAACUACGUG
rnacentral:rRNA from 1 species